rnacentral:lncRNA from 1 species
CUGUUCUCCAGCAUCUCCUCCUUCUGACUCCUGGGUGGCAGAGAGUGACCUGGUUUGCCUAGGACCGCCUGGUGUCAAUGCUGAAUGUACCACAUCCCGGGAAACCCCUCAGUCUCUGGCCGACCCUAUUUUACAAGUCAUGGAACUGCAGGUCCCUCAAGCUCUGAGCUGUCCACUGUAUUUUGUUACAGGGACAGAGCCUGCCGUGGGAGCCUCUCCCCGAGGAGAAGCAGAGACUGUUCAUUACCCCCAGGCCGGCAGCUCCACGAGAGACGCCAAGGAUCCUGGGAGCCAGGCUGGCUCCGCCUGUCCUGGGGUCCCCCCGGAGAGGCCCGGGUGUGUUUCUUUGGCAGCGGCCACGUGGAAACGGUACCAAUUCCUUCAGUCACGCAGAAGGGCUUGUUGUUUGUAUGAUUUCUAGGGAUACCCUGUGUUUACUUUUCAUCCCGACUGACUCUAAAGAAAAAAUUCUCUGGCUAGCCAUGAGGAAAUGAGCCUGUGUUUCAACUGAGCUACAUUCUCACUUCUGAUGAAGCGAAUUCUUUAUUACUCCCUUGUUGACUGAGACUCACUCUUCUCCAGGUGAAACUUACCCGUCCUUGAAAAAUCAAGAUACUUUGAAAUAAAAUAAGAUGAAACGACGUGACAAUUCUUGCUCAUCCUUACCAAAAUUCCGAGACUCUGCCAGGCCUCGGCAUUUUCUUGCUGUGAUUUGAGGAGAAAUUGCACGGCUCGUUUAUGGCAGGGCGAGAACCAGAGGCAAGUCCUCCUGUCUGGCAUCGACGGUCUUCUCCCUUCAAAGCCUUGACCACCACGGGACCUUAAGGAAGGACAUUCAGGGCACAGUCUGGUUCAGUAGUCAAGAGGCAAAUGGUUUUGAGUUUGUAUGUCGGCACUGCCCUUUCUAGCUCUGUGACUGUUAGAACUUCCUUACCUUCCUCAGCUUCAAGUGCUCCCUAUGCCCUCUUUACUUUCUUCUAUUGCAGCCUGAUUUAGGGGUACCCCCUUAACUGGUAUUUCCGUAUGGUUCUGCCUUGAAUCCACAUAAAGACCUCUGGGACUUCAUCCCUGAAUCUUUUCUUGACUUUGUCCAACCACAAUUGUCCUUGCUUCUCCUCGGGGAGCUGACAUCAAUUUGAGGGAGAUUGGGAUCUCCUCUUCCACCGCAUUAGCAGAAAGUAACACAUUUGCACCCCCAAAUCUGACAUUAGUUUCUUUGAUUCUGUAACAAUUCAAAGCUCUCUCUCUUCUUUUUUUCUUCUUUUACAAAUCGAUGUGGAUGGUCAACCACCACACCAGGGAACCGCGAGAGUCUACAACUGCAAGCAGGAGAAUCGCAUCCAUCAGCCAUGUGGGAUCUAAGCCCCCUCUCGAUUUAGAGGUAGAGUGGACAUCGCCAUCCCAGGGUCCACAGGAUGGAGGAAUAAAUAUGGAUUAGAGUGGACUUGCUGGUAUUCUACCGUAGAUCUAUUGUGACUAGUAAUGGAAGAAAUUGUAUCAUUGAUGUGGAGACAGUGGCCACAGGAGUUGCUGAGGGCAGGGAGAAGGAAGAAGAGAUGUGAUGUGGGGGCAUUUUCAGGACUUAGAGUUGUCCUGAAUGAUAUUACAGAGAUAGAUGCAGGACAUUAUUUAUCCUGCCAUAACCCACUGAAUGGGUCGGGAGAGAGUGUAAACUGGAAUGUAAACUAUAACCCAUGUUGUGUAGCAGUGCUCCAAAAUAUAUUCAUCACAUGCAAUGAAUGCACCACACUGAUGGAAGAGGCUGUUGAUGUGUGAGGAGUGGGGGUGGGGUGGGAGUGGGGAGUGGGAUAUAUGGAAACCUCAUAUAUUUUUAAUAUAACAUUUUGUGUGAUCUAUGUACCUUUUAUUAAAAAAGACAAUAAAAAAUUUCAUUUUCAGAA